CAACUUCAAAUAAUUCGAUGACAUUUUUGUCCAUUUUUCAUCUCCCCUUAUUUAAAAGAGAGAGUUGUGGAGAACUAACACCGCUUUAAAAAUUUGUGAGGCCACUUUACCAAAUUAUAUAAGCCAAUAAGUUGGGACGAACACAACUAUAGGCGGUUGUACACUAUUGCUGAUUUUUGUUUAGCCUCUUUUGUAUUACACUUCAUUUUUAUGAGUUUUCUUUUCCAUUCCAGCGACACCUGUCUUUAUAUUUCUUGGGAUCUGGCUUCACUUCAACUUCUGAUUCACCCUCUCUCUUAGUCAUCUCCUCUCUACAUAAAGUUUUGUUUGCUCCAAAUUGAUUUGCGUUUGUGGAUUGCACCACCAAGAUUCAGGCUCAUUGUGCAACGAAAUGUUUGGAAACAAAUGAACAAAGACUCUUCUUUACUUGGUUGACCAAUGACCAUAUUAGCUAUUAAAGAUGACCAUACCACAUCAAAGAUGCAAGGUUUACCUAUGGAAGAUGUUCCGCACGAAAUAUACUCAGCACCUCUUAUUGUUUCCAGUUAGACAAUUUAAAAUGGAGAAUGCUUGGCUACCACUUGAGUUGACUAAUUUGUUUUACAUUGCCAAUUCAUUAUUUGAAAGCAGGAAUUGGUUAAUAAAUCAACGGUUUAUGUAAUAUUCUUUUCCCACUUUUAGGUUGGCGACACUUUUCACUCUUUAAGCCGGUUAAUUACUGUCAAAACCUUUUGAAUGCCAAAAAACUGCCAAACAAACACGUUUGCUGAGGAAGAUGACCGGAAGGAAUGUGGAAGUUCCUCUUUGUGGUUGGUGUUAUAUACAUGUCUAUCCUUUUCUAUUUUUGUUUGGAAGUCAUCCUCAUGGCAAGCAAAAGCUCUUUAACUUUGGCAAUUGCUUAUUAGAAAUUCCUUUGUACAAAGAUUAAAGAUAUGGUAUUGGCAAAAUUUGUUUGAAGAGAUCAUACUCACCAACAACAGGACAGAAGGUUCAGGAGCGUGGAUGAGCUUGUAUGGAUCUGAAUAUCGCCCGAAUAACACAGUUAGACACUACUAACGAAUAACGAUAUUGUCUAUGGCCCUCGACUAUUGAAUUUUAUUUUAAUAAACAAGUUAAUAAAUAACUCUUACCAAUUUUUUUGUACGAUAAUUGCAAAAUCUAUCAACGACCAUUUAUUCCC